CGGCUGUAGAUCGGUGUGUCUGCGGGUAGUGCCAGCUACGGGAAGUUCGCUAGAGGUCGUUUCAUAUUCCGCUGUUUCCAAGCUGCUAAUGUGUUGUCGUCUUCAGGGAAGUCUUGAGAAGAAUUGCUCAUGUAGUGAUAAUAGCUAAGAUUCGAUCCCGGAUCUUCUUGUUAAAAAUACCGAUGCGGUAUAAUAAGUAACUAAUCAAUAACUGUACUCAUGUGAUCGUUACUACGCAUGACAACGACAGUCGUGUAAGCUGAUUGGCUGAUUUCUUUAUAAAGUGGAUGCCGCAGUUGGAUGAGAUGUUUUAUAUUUUGUAUCAUGAUCAAUUCUUUCUCCCCCUUAAAGGACACAGGAGGAAUAGUAAUAGAGUUGUGAAACAUGGGUCUUCCAGAAGCCACAGAUCAUUCAAGAUUUAUUUGGUUGUUCAGAAGCCAUAGGUCAAUCAAGAUUUAUUUGAUUGCUCAGAGGUCACAGAUCAAUCAAGAUUUCGUGAAGUAUAGAGAAUACAUUAAGAAGUGCAUAAGCAUUGCGAUCCAUUUAACAGUGAAAUCUGUAUCCUCCCCCAACUGACACUCGAUACAAAUGUGAAUAUCUGCUAUACUUUCUGUUGUUAACAAGUACUGAUGACUCGUUCACUGACCGAGAUAUUUCCACAUCCUUCACAGCUGAGUCCGAGCAGCAUGAGAUUCAAGCCACAUUGUGACUUGCGGGCUAAAAUUGGAUUCCUCUUUUUGGUUUUCCUAGUGCCCAGUACAGUGGUCAAUUUUAUGUGGUAUGGUAGUAGUCCUAAUGUGAGAAAACCUCGCCCGAUCUCGUGGGGACCAUCAGUUGCCUACAAUAUGAGUUUACUUAAUCAAGAAACAGAUUUCACAACGCUUGUGGAUAAGACAGACUUUCGCUUUCUACUAAACCACCGACGUUGCGAUAAAGAGAAGGACAUAUUUAUGGUCAUAUAUAUUCACAGUGCUCCAGACCAUUUUCAAAAAAGGAGGGCGAUACGAAAAACUUGGGGUCAAGAGCGCCAUCUGGUGUAUGACCCGAUACGUUUAGUGUUUAUGGUUGGAACAGUUCAGAAUAAAGAUGAAAUUCAGAAGGCUUUGGAAAAAGAAGACUUCAUUAAUCGUGACAUUGUACAGGGCAAUUUCAUUGAUUCUUACAAAAACCUCACAUACAAACACGUCAUGGGACUCAAGUGGGUGACAUAUUUCUGUCGCCAAGCUAAAUAUAUUUUCAAAACUGACGACGACAUAUUUGUCGAUAUUUUUCAGUUAGUGACGUAUUUGAGAGUGUCCUCCUUAGGCAGGAUGCCCCCACGUGGCCUUAUCAUGUGCUUUCUUAUCAGGAAUCUUUACGUAAAGCGUAGCCAACGUAGCAAAUGGAAAGUUAGCUUCAAAGAGUACCCUGCCAAGUAUUACCCCCCUUACUGCGCAGGCUGGGUCAUUAUCAUGUCUCCUGAUGUCGUUUUCAACCUUUACCUCCAGUCGACCCAAGCAGCCUACUUUUGGGUAGAUGAUGUCCAUGUAUCCGGAACACUUGCUCAAAGGGUCGGAGUGAGCCACGUGGACUUUACAGACAAGCUGUCAGUAUCAAAGGAAGAAGUUCUCUAUUGGCUCCAAAACCCUGAGUUAAGUCGGCCAUAUUUGUUCGGGUACCCAAACGCAGACGUCGACACUAUCUAUGCUUUGUGGAACAAAACUUUAUGUUACUACGAAAGUUUAGGAAUUCCCAGACGAUGAAUUUCCAGAACAUUCUGGGUGUCGAUUGAAUUUUUUUCCCUGUUCGUGACCACCGCGAGUUUUUACGUUCGUCCAAGUUGCAAACUGCUCUACAACUUUCGGGCUGUCCCUGGUAAAACCGAAAAGACAAUCUGUGACACAGAAGCCUAAUAUAUUCCCUGAUUGGCCGUACCCUCUGCUGUGGACUGUAGUUUCAUUUAUCCAAGGUUCAUCAGCACAGCUUGGGCCAGCAAACCAAAUAAAUGCAGUUAGGCCCUUUAUAAUGGUGAAGUGUAUAUAUGUUUUAUGGUGUUUUUGAGGCCGUUUUGUAAGAUGAAUUAAAAAAGACCCCACACAUUUUAUUUAAGUAAGAUAUAGGACUCUGAACAGAUUUAUUGAUUUCACAUCUACAGAAGCAAAAGUCACGUCUAUUUAACACUAUAAAGUUAUGAGUUAGUGGACGAUGUGUAUGUUUUUAAUGGAAUUAAGGAUGCAAUUUAAUUUCUAUGAUCAAUGGGUAAAUUUUAAUCAACGAUUGAUAUAAACGCUCACAAGUCUUGUUAGAACAUCUGUGACUGUAGAAUUGGAGAUGAUUAUUAAGUUACCAGUGGUGUUUUAAAUUCAUGUAAUUGCUUUGUAAAGCUACGUCUGUAUUUGCGUUUGGUAUUAUCCAGACACACCCGUUUACCCGUCACUUAUUUUCCAAUUCCUUUAUAAGUAUUUUAGUGAAAAUUGUGGCAUUUUUAGAGUAAUCUAAGUACAAUAGGUGUGAUACUUGAUGUGAAGCUUAAAACCCUGUUUGUUGAUACUCAUCUGGAUGAAGAGUUACUUAAGAUUUUCAACAACUUUUCUUCUGAACAUAGAGCGAACAUACAUGUUAGGGAUGUUUGUGACAUACAAUAAAGGUAAAAAAAUGAAUGUCUAGCCCUUGUGGCCCACUGUCGAUUGUAUUCUAGGUAAUGGCCCUGAAUACGAGGCUUUAGCGCAAUACAUCGACUCAUUGUUGUCAAUAUUUGUCAAUCAUGUACGAACACGAUUUCAAUGAUCAAUUUGAGCAAUCCGUAAGCAUGGAACUCCAUGAGAGAUGCUGCAAAUGAAAUAGCACAAAUUCCUUGUAUCUUGUGGGGGAGAUUGAGAUGGACAUGUGAAUGAAUGAUUUGUCAAGAUGGAGCCAUAUCUUAUUGGUAUCUUGCGGAGGAACUGUCAGAUUGAGAUGGACAUGUGAAUGAAUGGUUUGUCAAUAUGGAACCAUAUCUUAUUGGCAUCUUGUGGAGGAACUGUCAGGUUGAGAUGGACAUGAGAAUGACUGGUUUGUCAAGAUGGAACCAUAUCUUAUUGGCAUCUUGCGUAGGAACUGUCAGGUUGAGAUGGACAUGAGAAUGAAUGGUUUGUCAAGAUGGAACUGUAUCUUAUAUAUUAUUUAUUCGCAU
rnacentral:misc_RNA from 1 species